rnacentral:rRNA from 1 species
GAGCGGUAACAGGUGUAGCAAUACAUGCUGACGAGCGGCGAACGGGUGAGUAAUGCUUCGGAAUCUACCCAGUAGUGGGGAAUAACCAAUCGAAAGGUUGGCUAAUACCGCAUACGUCCUACGGGAGAAAGCGGGGGAUCGUAAGACCUCGCGCCAUUGGAUGAGCCGAAGCCGGAUUAGCUAGUUGGUAGGGUACCGCCCUACCAAGGCGACGAUCCGUAGCUGGUCUGAGAGGACGACCAGCCACACUGGGACUGAGACACGGCCCAGACUCCUACGGGAGGCAGCAGUGGGGAAUAUGGACAAUGGGGGAAACCCUGAUCCAGCGACGCCGCGUGUGUGAAGAAGGCCUGCGGGUUGUAAAGCACUUUUAGUGGGGAUGAAAAGUGCAGAGUUACACCUCUGCAUCUUGACCUA